rnacentral:rRNA from 1 species
AUUGAACGCUGGCGGCAGGCUUAACACAUGCAAGUCGAGCGGGGUGAUGGUGCUUGCACUAUCACUUAGCGGCGGACGGGUGAGUAAUGCUUAGGAAUCUGCCUAUUAGUGGGGGACGACAUCUCGAAAGGGAUGCUAAUACCGCAUACGUCCUACGGGAGAAAGCAGGGGAUCACUUGUGACCUUGCGCUAAUAGAUGAGCCAAAGUCGGAUUAGCUAGUUGGUGGGGUAAAGGCCUACCAAGGCGACGAUCUGUAGCGGGUCUGAGAGGAUGAUCCGCCACAGUGGGACUGAGACACGUCCCAGAUUCCUACGGGAGGCAGCAGUGGGGAAUAUUGGACAAUGGGGGGAACCCUGAUCCAGCCAUGCCGCGUGUGUGAAGAAGGCCUUAUGGUUGUAAAGCACUUUAAGCGAGGAGGAGGCUCUUUUGGUUAAUACCCAAGAUGAGUGGACGUUACUCGCAGAAUAAGCACCGGCUAACUCUGUGCCAGCCGCCGCCGUAA